rnacentral:rRNA from 1 species
GACGAACGCUGGCGGCGUGCUUAACACAUGCAAGUCGAACGGAAAGGCCCUGCUUUUGUGGGGUGCUCGAGUGGCGAACGGGUGAGUAACACGUGAGUAACCUGCCCUUGACUUUGGGAUAACUUCAGGAAACUGGGGCUAAUACCGGAUAGGAGCUCCUGCUGCAUGGUGGGGGUUGGAAAGUUUCGGCGGUUGGGGAUGGACUCGCGGCUUAUCAGCUUGUUGGUGGGGUAGUGGCUUACCAAGGCUUUGACGGGUAGCCGGCCUGAGAGGGUGACCGGCCACAUUGGGACUGAGAUACGGCCCAGACUCCUACGGGAGGCAACAGUGGGGAAUAAUGCACAAUGGGCGGAAGCCUGAUGCAGCAACGCCGCGUGCGGGAUGACGGCCUUCGGGUUGUAAACCGCUUUCGCCUGUGACGAAGCGUGAGUGACGGGAAUGGGUAAAGAAGCACCGGCUAACUACGU